rnacentral:rRNA from 1 species
CCUACGGUCGGCAGCAGUGAGGAAUAUUGGUCAAUGAGCGAGAGCCUGAACCAGCCAAGUCGCGUGAGGGAGUACUGCCCUAUGGGUGGUAAACCUCUUUUGUCGGGGAGCAAAAGCCUGACGUGUCCGGCUGUGAGAGUACCCGAAGAAAAAGCAUCGGCUAACUCGGUACCAGCAGCCGCGGUAAUACGGAGGAUGCGAGCGUUAUCCGGAUUUAUGGGGUUUAAAGGGUGCUCAGGCGGUUUGUUAAGUCAGCGGUCAAAUCGUGGGGCUCAACCCCAUCCAGCCGUUGAAACUGGGGAUCUAGAGUGUGCGAGAGGUAUGCGGAAUGCGUGGUGUAGCGGUGAAAUGCAUAGAUAUCACGCAGAACCCCGAUUGCGAAGGCAGCAUACCGGUGCACAACUGACGCUCAGGCGCGAAAGCGUGGGUAUCGAACAGGAGUAGAUACCCCAGUAGUC